AUCCUCCUAAUGCUUACCACAGACAGCACACCCCAGAGUGCUGGCUGUAUAGAAACGGGAGGUAGAUCAGUUACUCCUAACACUUGCUCUGCCAGCUACUGUCUGGUUUGGCAACACUGUUGGGUGGGACAUCU